rnacentral:rRNA from 1 species
UACGAAGGGUGCAAGCGUUACUCGGAAUUACUGGGCGUAAAGCGUGCGCAGGCGGUUUGUUAAGACAGAUGUGAAAUCCCCGGGCUUAACCUGGGAACUGCAUUUGUGACUGGCAAGCUAGAGUAUGGCAGAGGGGGGGUAGAAUUCCACGUGUAGCAGUGAAAUGCGUAGAGAUGUGGAGGAAUACCGAUGGCGAAGGCAGCCCCCUGGGCCAAUACUGACGCUCAUGCACGAAAGCGUGGGGAGCAAACAGG